ensembl:lncRNA
GAUUACUCAUAUAAAUAUGAGGUAGCUUUCACAUAAAAAGAGAAAAUUGUUUUGGUACUGUAAAUUGGUCAGUAAGGAAACUCUCUAAGACUCAGUUUAGAGUGUUAGAAAGCAGGCAUUCUUUUAUUCUUGGCACUGGAUGCAUGAGAGUAUCCUUCCACCUACUUGUGCAUACCUGGUACAAAAGAUCUUCAGCUUCUAUGCUUUACUUGCGUUACAUAUGCAAAGGUUUUCCUGGGCAGUACAUACAUACUCAGUACUUCCUCCCACAUCAUUAACAUAAUGUUCUGCCUCCUUGCUCAUGCUCAGUCUUUUUUUGAUAGUGGUCCUGACACACUCUAGACAAAGUCGGUCGUCUUUUUCACUUGUGUUCACUUGAACCUGGUCUCAUGCAUGCUCAGUUAUCGCCUUGCCUUGAUCUUAUAAUACCUACUUUCACAAAAUUAGCUGAUCCAAGCAGAACUUCCUUAUCUGCCUGGCAUAAGGGAGUCAGUAUAUCAUUGUCAUCUACUUAGUACAAGGGCACAGAUUCUUCCUGUUUUCUAGAGCAACUACAGGGCUAUCCGUCAUAGGACUCUUCUUGUUUUCAAGCCAACUACAGUGCUAUCCAUCAAUGAGUAUUAGCAAGCUUAACAAUAUUGCUAUGUCUUGUAUCAGUUUAAUUUAGAGAGUGAGGGAAUGAUGGAGGAUUAUCCUAAAAGCAUGUGAAAUGAAGACUAAUAGGAUGAUGCUGAGGAACUCCCCUUUAUACAUGCCACAGUAGAAAAGGAAGGAGAUGUUUCAUGAUUUGAAAGGCAAAUUUUUUUUAUACUAUGUAAAGGAAAUGGUGUGUCCCCUGCUGCAGGAUGUCCUGUCAGAUAUAGCAGUGGGAUGAGAAGUUAGCAGAAUCCAAAGAGGAAUUGAAGAGAAUUUUUAAAGGCAGAAAAUACAGGCUGAGAAUCUAGCUCCCUGUGGAAAUUGUGAAUGAUGAGCCUUGAGACUGCCUUCUUGUCUCUCUGUGCUGAGAACCUCAACAACUGCAUCAAAGAGGUUCUCUAGGCACAUCUGCUGCCAUGAGAUGCCUCAGCCAAGGACUGUGAGCCAAGAUAUGAGGGAAAUAGUUUAACCAGAUGUGUGCCCAUGUCUGCAACACAGAAUUUUAAGAUGCUGAAAUUUAAAAGCUUGCCAUCAUCUCCCCUGCCUCCCCAGCAGUAAGGUAAAUAAUGAGUGGGACAGCAGCAUAUCCAUUAAAACACCUUUUUUCAAGGGAGAGGAUAGGAGGUUAUAAUUUGACUAUAAAAAUUUGCUCCAGGCUGAAAACUUGGCAAACAAAAGCUUAGCUUAGAAGUGAUUAAAAAGGAAACAACGAAAAAAGCAUAAAAUAAACCAGGGCAGUCAUUUUGGGUGGAGAUGAGGGUCUAGAGCUUAGAGAUCAUUCUUUAGUGGGGGAGGAGGAGGAACGGCUCAAGACAGAGUUGUAUUUGGCUCUAAGCCCAACUAUAACUAAGUGUUUCAGAGCCAGGAGAAUAAACUGCAGCAUCUGAAUACAUGUGCAAUCCCUGGCCUCUCCCUUCACCCAUUUAUCAGAGGAAAGUUAAG